rnacentral:rRNA from 1 species
AUUGAACGCUGGCGGCCGGCCUAACACAUGCAAGUCGAACGAGUGGCGGACGGGUGAGUAAUGUCUGGGAAACUGCCUGAUGGAGGGGGAUAACUCCUGGAAACGGUAGCUAAUACCGCCUACCCUCCGAUGUGCCCAGAUGGGAUUAGCUAGUUGGUGGGGUAACGGCUCACCAAGGCGACGAUCCCUCGCGGGUCUGCGAGGAGGACCAGCGAAAGUGGAACUGAGAAACGGUCAAGACUCCUACGGGAGGAAGAAGUGGGGAAUAUUGCACAAUGGGCGAAAGCCUGAUGCAGCAAUGCGGCGUGGAUGAAGAAGGCCUUCGGGUGGUAAAGUACUGUGAGCGGGGAGGCGUGACACGAAGAAGAAGCACCGGCUAACUCCGUGCCAGCCGCCGCGGUAAUAC